rnacentral:lncRNA from 1 species
CCGUGCCCGCAUUUACUCCCCUGUCCGCUCACCCAGUGCCCGUUUUGAGCGGCUGCCACCUCGCAGUGAGGACAUCUAUGCUGACCCUGCUGCCUAUGUGAUGAGGCGAUCCAUCAGCUCCCCCAAAUGAGUGAGAGCGAGACUCUCAUCAGUAUGGUGAACCGCAUGGUGGAAAACUCCUCCCCCAGGUCCCAACUCUUCAUGCAGUCCCUCCAUACCCAGAAGUGUUCCGGGACAGCCUCCACACCUACAAGUUAAACGAGCAAGACACAGAAAGCUGCUGGGAAAAUUGUGUGAGCAGAACAAGGU